rnacentral:rRNA from 1 species
GAUGAACGCUGGCGGCGUGCUUAACACAUGCAAGUCGAACGGUGAAGCAGGAGCUUGCUCCUGUGGAUCAGUGGCGAACGGGUGAGUAACACGUGAGCAAUCUGCCCCGAACUCUGGGAUAAGCGCUGGAAACGGCGUCUAAUACCGGAUACGACGCGCGACGGCAUCGUCUGCGCGUGGAAAGAACUUCGGUUCGGGAUGAGCUCGCGGCCUAUCAGCUUGUUGGUGAGGUAAUGGCUCACCAAGGCGACGACGGGUAGCCGGCCUGAGAGGGUGACCGGCCACACUGGGACUGAGACACGGCCCAGACUCCUACGGGAGGCAGCAGUGGGGAAUAUUGCACAAUGGGCGCAAGCCUGAUGCAGCAACGCCGCGUGAGGGACGACGGCCUUCGGGUUGUAAACCUCUUUUAGUAGGGAAGAAGCGAAAGUGACGGUACCUGCAGAAAAAGCACCGGCUAACUACGUGCCAGCAGCCGCCGUAACAC